rnacentral:lncRNA from 1 species
GUAUCUCUAUUAUGAUGUCAUGUAGGGAACUUUUGAAGAAUGUUUUGGGUUGUCGACUGAUGUCAUCCAAUCCAAUAAAACAAGGAAAAUCUGAGAGUUAACUAGUGAUGUCACGGUUAAUUUGGAGCAUUGUCGUUCAUAAUUCAAUGAAGUAGUAAUUGAAAAUCGAGUUAUUUGCAUACAUAUCAUGUGUGGAGAAAAAGCCUCUAGCUACCCCAUCCAUCAUCUUAUUUCUCAAAUAUGUUUUACAAUCUAUCUAGUUUUUCAUACUUGUUUGUUUGUUUCAACUUCGUCCAAAACUCAAUCCCCCUUUACUUUAGUGUGUCUAACUAGUUAGAAUUUGUUUUAAUUUGUGUUUUUAAAUGUUUUGAUUCAAGUAAAAGUCAAUUUUCAUCCAAAGUCAUUCCUAGUGUCUAGUUUAAGUUUAUUUAGUUGUUUUAAGAUGUUUUGAGUAUUUUAAGUUUGCUUUGAGUCUUGUUAAGUGUUUUUAAGUUUAGUUUUUUGUUUUUGAGUCAGUUUAGAGGUUAUUAGCAAGCCCUCCUAAUCCCCGGUCCAGAACGAUCCAUACUUAUACUUAUACUACAAUUGUUAAAAGAUGGUUAAAUUUGUGUGUUAAGUUAAUUUUCGCAUCAGGAGCCGAUAAUUGUGUUUUAUGUGAAUGUCGUUAUUUUAAUUAUGUUUUUGAGAUCAAAUUGCUACGGUUUGAAUAUUAAUACGAUUUUGGAGUAUGUGAACUACGAAAGGCUUGACCCACUCCAGGGUACGUAGGCAGUCUAACAGUGUUAGAUGCAGCCUUAAAUAAUCGAGAAUUUUACUUUAAUUGAGAAUUAUUCUUAUUUUGAGAACUUGGUCAAUUGAAAGGAAAUGGAAAUAUCUUGAGAUUAUAAUUAUGUGGUUGUUCAAAUAAUAAUAUUUAGGAAUCAUACUGGAAAUAAAUUUUAGUACAAAAAUUUGGCAAGGUAACUAUACGUUUUAAUCUUUAAUUAACAUUGAUGGUUUUGUAUGUGAAUGAGUUAUUUAAAUAAAGAUUUGUUAUUUAAAAUUUGCUAAAUAAAGUGGAGUUUAGUUUGGGCCUAUCAAAAGUAAUAACAUUAUUUCCCAAAUAAAAAAAAUUAAUUCGGGACGGGGUGUUACACUUUCACUCGCAUUGAUAUGCUAGUCUAGUGUACAUUAGUUAGUUAGUUUUUUUUUUUAUUUAUCCAUAUUUUUAUAUCACGUUCACUUCUGCAUAGCACACAUGGUUACGUCACCCUCACAUGAUGGCCAACAUGCCUCAAUUGUGGUCGGGGUGUGUCAUUUUCUACAUAGGUUUCAUCGUGGUAAUUAUUAUUUCUAUUGUCCUUGAAACUCAGCAACGUUCUUCUGAAACACGGAGAAUAAAGUGCCUCAACAAUGGUCAAAAUUGUACCAUUGGACAACAUUAUACAUGCCUUACCGUAUCUGACACACCCCGACCUGGAAAGGUCGAAGCAUGCUGGCCGUCACCGUGAGGUGACGUAACCAUAAGGGUAAGUGAUGCAAAAAGUGAAUAAAAUUAAAACUAAUUAGAACUAAACAGUGAAAGAGUGCACAAUUCGUGGGUUGAACCCACUACAAUUAUUCAGAGCGUAAUAGACAGUGAGACUACGAAAGAGUAGUCAAGACAACCAAAGUACACUUAUUACAUAGUAGUGAUAAGUUCAUAUGUCUAAACAGAAGGAAAUGUCAGAACUGCCGUGAUUCCUCGAGUGCCAUAGUGAGUAUAGCUAUCUAGGUCCUGGAGGGGCGAAAAACAAAGUUGAGUGGGUUAGCAAAACAAUGCUUAUAUGAAAACCUUUAUCUUUGAAUAUACUAACCCCUUGCCGUAAAACAAGUAUAGUUUCCCCAAAACAUACUACGUAAGUAUGAAAUCCAGUAUAUCAGCCAUAUAACCAGAAAUAUGCCAAGUAAAUGAUGUAUCAUAUGCCACAAUAAUAAUCAUGUGAUAAUCAAUAUAACUAAGUGCUCAUCCAUCUAAGCUGACACACAAGUUCGAACAGAUGGUUUCUGACACGAACAGGACUGGGUGUAAUCAAUAUGCUUUAGUAUUACGAUCAUGUGAAACUGGUGCAAAAGCACAUCACAUACAAGUCGGAUUGCCUAAUGCAAUCUACCCGACAAUACUGGCACCUAAACUUGGAUCCAAGGUGAGCGAACGGUGCGGAUGUGAACAUACACGUGAAGGACUGGCCCUGGCCCUAGGCGAGUACUAACACCGGGUGCAGCAAGAUGAGCAUGUACACAAUCACGUAUGAAUGCCAUGACAGUAAUAUCACAACCAUAUAGCAGCAUUUAUCACAAUUUAUAUCACAAAAAUGAUACUAGGCAAAAUAGGCGUAAAAGUAACAUAAAUAUGCAUUUAUGGAAACUAUAAAUAUAUAUAGGUAUAAAACAACUGCCCACUCACAAGUACGUCACUAGGUCGUAGUCCCCGAGCCUAGCUUGGCCUCGAAAAUCCUCAGAAUAAGUUUCCCCUAUAUGUGAAAUAAAUAAAUAACAUUAAUUAAAGCACAUAACGGAAACCUAAAUAAAACGCCCAUAGUUUGCUCAAACCUAGGGUGUAAAUAUAUGAAAUCGAUCUACUCGACAACACGCACGCGCACGUACCAACCACGCAUCGGCCGGAGUCCGAACGCCCCCCACGCGCCGCCCAAAGUGGCAGUCCACGCACGCCCAGGCGCCCCCGCGAGUACACUGUACUCACCUUCUUCGCGAAAAUCUGCAGUUUUGCAGAUUUUUGGCCCAACUUCCAGAGCCUAUAACGAGCUCGAUUCUCAACCAAAUUCACUUCUACAAAAGCCAAAUUAAAGCUAGGAAUGUGAUCUACCGAUCCCAAUUUACAGAAAGUUCGAAUCUAGUCCGUGUUGUUCGGAAAUUUGGCCUGAAAGUGGCCAAACGACCACGGUUACAAAUUUUUCAGAAACUGAAAUUUUCUUCCUAACUUCCAGUGUUGAUUUCUAACUCGUUACUUAACCAAACUCAGUGAUUCAAAAGCCAUUUUGAAGUUAGGAAUGUAGAGAACAAGUUUGUACCUAGAAAAAGUCCAGUUGUGGUCGAGGUUGACCAGAAAAAUGGUUUGAAAGUGACUAAAUGGCCACGGUUCUUGAACGAAAAACUUCGGGUUCUCCUUCUUCUCGAGUUUUUGGGUAAAACCACACGUUCAAAACAUAAACAAAGGAUCAAUAACAACCCAUAGAAGUGAAAUGAAGGUUCUAAGGGUUUCUUAAGGCUUACCUUAGCCAUGCAUGGCUUCAAAACCGUAGUAUCGAACUCGCCGAGUCGGACCUUCCGAGUUGGACGUUCAAAACUCGGUCAACACGCGAACCAAGGGUAUGGUCGUGAUCGUGGGGCUGAGAUGAGCAUGAUGAUGUAGUUUGUUUGUUCGAUCUAUGAGCUUUGGAGCUCGCUCAUGGAGUUGCAGAGGGAGAUAGAG